rnacentral:tRNA from 1 species
CGGCUGCGUGGCCGGCUGGGUGGCCGGCGGCUGGUUCCCGCCGUUGGCGGGCGGCUGGGCUCCGCCGUUGGCGG